UCCCUGGUGGCUCAAUGGUAAAGAAUCUGCCUGCCAAUGCAGGAGACACGGGUUCGACCCCUGAUCUGGGAA
rnacentral:tRNA from 1 species